CUCAGUUUCCUUAUCUGUAAAGUGGGGAUAGCUACAUUUCACAUGUGAGGUUCCAAAAAGAUAAUGUGCAUAAGAAGCUUCAAUAGCUCCAUACAUCUAUGAUCUUACUUCCAUAAAUAGAGAUCAAACCCCAUCCAUACUUUCGCAGAACUUAUUCUAUUGUCCAUCUUCUCCCAUAAAUCCUGCGCCAAGGAUUUACCCCUUGUUCUGGAGAAGUGGGGCUGGAGAGGGAUGAGGGGAAAGGGAGCUUCUUCCUCCAGGACUUUUGACCUACACUGGCACCAAAGUAAUCCUGGGUCUGCCCCGUCUCUGCAAUUCAACUAGGUAAAUUUCAAUUAUUGUUAUUAUUAUCAUCCUUCCUUAUUGCACAGAGUUGUUGUAAGGAUCAAAUGAGAUCAUGCUGCGAAGGGGCUAUGCAAUUCUAAAACAGAGGUGGACUAAUGUUAUCUUACAAGGGUAAAAAUGAGAGCAUCCUCUACGGCGGCAAUAGUCAUUCUCCUGCUGUCUACUCAUAAUAUAUUUGCUUAAGCCCGGAGCUCUCCAAUUCAGAAGAGUCAUUACAGGGCUUCAAGAAGAGAGAAUCCGCUUGAAUUUCACGAGAGCGUCUGACUCACCCAAGUUUCAGUCAGGGAGCGCGCCUCAGCUAACCGUCGUGUGCCCGGAGAAAGCAAUGGAGCUCAGCAGAAAGCUUGCUCAGUUUGGAGGCACAAAACCCGGGUUUAAAUUCAGACGCUGCCACCUACUACUUGUGACUUUGGGCCAGUCAUUUACCCUUGUCUGUCUUCCGUUUUCUCAGCUAUCAAAGAUGAGACUGAGACCCCUGGAGGUCAAAUGAGUGAUAGUAAAGAUCAGCAGUGGAAUUUGAACCCAACUCCUCUAACUAGAGAAGCAGUGCACUUUCUAAUGUACUCUUCUGUUUUCCUUUAUACUGUGUAAAGGGGAUAUAUUCAAUAAUGAAUCAGAGCAUAAUAGAUCAAGAAGUACAAGGGACCAUAGAGGUCAUCUAGUCCAGCCCUUUCCUGCCCCAUUUCACGGCUGAGGAAAUUGAAACAACAUUUAAGUAACUUGUUUAAGGUUGCACAGAUUGUUAAGUGGUGAUGCCUGGAUUGGAACAACUGACUACAAAAUCAGUCCUUUUCCCAUCUGUCUGUCUUUUAUGCUAUUGUUAUGGAUAAAAUAAAGAAAUGUAGGCUAGCUUAUAGGACA
rnacentral:lncRNA from 1 species